rnacentral:rRNA from 1 species
CAGUCGUACCGACGAGAAAUCAACCUUUCGAGUGCGAACCUGUGGACGUGCGUGAGUCUUUAACGGGCCUCGCUGUUUGCAAUGUUUGUGCUUUUUGGGUGUUACUUUUUCGUAUGGUAGGCCAACGUCAGUCUCGGUCACCAUAAAAUGAUUAGAGGAAUGUAGCUUCGAUCUUGUA